ensembl:lncRNA
UUUCUUUUUUUCUUUUUUAUUUAUUUUAUUUUAUUUUAUAGUUUUUUGAGACAGAGUCCCGCUCAGUCGCCCAGCCUGGAGUGCGGUGUGACUGCAAGCUCCGCCUCCGGGUUGGCGCCAUUCUCCUGCCUCAGCCUCCCAGGAGCUGGGACUGCAGGCGCCGCCACCGCGCCCGGCUAAUUUUUUUUGUAUUUUUAGUAGAGACGGGGUUUCACUGUGUUAUUCAGGAUGGUCUCGAUUUCUUGACCUCGUGAUCCGCCCGUCUCGGCCUCCCAAAGUGCUGGGAUUACAGGCGUGAGACACCGGGUCGGGCCGGGAAGAUUUUUUAAUACAGAUGCUCCUCAACUUCUAAUGAGGUCGUGUCCUGAAACACCCAUCACAGAAAUGUUUGGGAGGAGUCACAGCAACAAGAGACACUGCUCUGGAGCUGUUUGCUGGAACUAAUAGAUACAGGAAGAAUUUGUAAUGCAGAAGCAAAAAGAAAAAAGAUCUUCAUUAUGUUACGUGUCUGCUCAUCAGCAGAACAAAUUCCCAUGGCUCUCUGUUCUAAUCAGAAGGAAGUAAUUUUCCUUCUCACCUCACUGACUCUCCAACUUGGCUCUUGAAGCUGACUGCUCUCCAACCCUUCCCUCCAGGUACUCAGUUGCAAUUUUUGGUUCCUGCUAAGGUUUGCUCAUUAAACACUUUACCACUUACUCUCUGUUACUUCUAGCCAUCUUCCCUUAAAGUUG